rnacentral:rRNA from 1 species
UCCUGCAGUUCUUGCCUGCUUUCCCACGGAAGCUAAGCAGGGUUGAGCCUGGCCAGUACCUGGAUGGGAGAUCUGAUGGGGAAAACUUAGGUUACUUCAGGAA